rnacentral:miRNA from 1 species
CGCUCACACUCCCUCUGCAG